AACGAACGCUGGCGGCAUGCCUAACACAUGCAAGUCGAACGAGACCUUCGGGUCUAGUGGCGCACGGGUGCGUAACGCGUGGGAAUCUGCCCUUGGGUUCGGAAUAACAGUGAGAAAUUACUGCUAAUACCGGAUGAUGUCUUCGGACCAAAGAUUUAUCGCCCAGGGAUGAGCCCGCGUAGGAUUAGCUAGUUGGUGGGGUAAUGGCCUACCAAGGCGACGAUCCUUAGCUGGUCUGAGAGGAUGAUCAGCCACACUGGGACUGAGACACGGCCCAGACUCCUACGGGAGGCAGCAGUGGGGAAUAUUGGACAAUGGGCGCAAGCCUGAUCCAGCAAUGCCGCGUGAGUGAUGAAGGCCUUAGGGUUGUAAAGCUUUUUUACCCGGGAUGAUAAUGACAGUACCGGGAGAAUAAGCUCCGGCUAACUCCGUG
rnacentral:rRNA from 1 species